rnacentral:rRNA from 1 species
AGUGAACGCUGGCGGUAGGCCUAACACAUGCAAGUCGAACGGCAGCACAGUAAGAGCUUGCUCUUACGGGUGGCGAGUGGCGGACGGGUGAGGAAUACAUCGGAAUCUACUUUUUCGUGGGGGAUAAUGUAGGGAAACUUACGCUAAUACCGCAUACGACCUACGGGUGAAAGCAGGGGAUCUUCGGACCUUGCGCGAUUGAAUGAGCCGAUGUCGGAUUAGCUAGUUGGCGGGGUAAAGGCCCACCAAGGCGACGAUCCGUAGCUGGUCUGAGAGGAUGAUCAGCCACACUGGAACUGAGACACGGUCCAGACUCCUACGGGAGGCGGCAGUGGGGAAUAUUGGACAAUGGGCGCAAGCCUGAUCCAGCCAUACCGCGUGGGUGAAGAAGGCCUUCGGGUUGUAAAGCCCUUUUGUCGGGAAAGAAAAGCAGCAGGUUAAUACCCCGCUGUUCUGACGGUACCCAAAGAAUAAGCACCGGCUAACUUCGUG